rnacentral:rRNA from 1 species
UGCAGUCGAGCGACGGACGAGAAGCUUGCUUCUCUGAUGUUAGCGGCGGACGGGUGAGUAACACGUGGAUAACCUACCUAUAAGACUGGGAUAACUUCGGGAAACCGGAGCUAAUACCGGAUAAUAUUUUGAACCGCAUGGUUCAAAAGUGAAAGACGGUCUUGCUGUCACUUAUAGAUGGAUCCGCGCUGCAUUAGCUAGUUGGUAAGGUAACGGCUUACCAAGGCAACGAUGCAUAGCCGACCUGAGAGGGUGAUCGGCCACACUGGAACUGAGACACGGUCCAGACUCCUACGGGAGGCAGCAGUAGGGAAUCUUCCGCAAUGGGCGAAAGCCUGACGGAGCAACGCCGCGUGAGUGAUGAAGGUCUUCGGAUCGUAAAACUCUGUUAUUAGGGAAGAACAUAUGUGUAAGUAACUGUGCACAUCUUGACGGUACCUAAUCAGAAAGCCACGGCUAACUACGUGCCAGCAGCCGCGGUAAUACGUAGGUGGCAAGCGUUAUCCGGAAUUAUUGGGCGUAAAGCGCGCGUAGGCGGUUUUUUAAGUCUGAUGUGAAAGCCCACGGCUCAACCGUGGAGGGUCAUUGGAAACUGGAAAACUUGAGUGCAGAAGAGGAAAGUGGAAUUCCAUGUGUAGCGGUGAAAUGCGCAGAGAUAUGGAGGAACACCAGUGGCGAAGGCGACUUUCUGGUCUGUAACUGACGCUGAUGUGCGAAAGCGUGGGGAUCAAACAGGAUUAGAUACCCUGGUAGUCCACGCCGUAAACGAUGAGUGCUAAGUGUUAGGGGGUUUCCGCCCCUUAGUGCUGCAGCUAACGCAUUAAGCACUCCGCCUGGGGAGUACGACCGCAAGGUUGAAACUCAAAGGAAUUGACGGGGACCCGCACAAGCGGUGGAGCAUGUGGUUUAAUUCGAAGCAACGCGAAGAACCUUACCAAAUCUUGACAUCCUUUGACAACUCUAGAGAUAGAGCCUUCCCCUUCGGGGGACAAAGUGACAGGUGGUGCAUGGUUGUCGUCAGCUCGUGUCGUGAGAUGUUGGGUUAAGUCCCGCAACGAGCGCAACCCUUAAGCUUAGUUGCCAUCAUUAAGUUGGGCACUCUAAGUUGACUGCCGGUGACAAACCGGAGGAAGGUGGGGAUGACGUCAAAUCAUCAUGCCCCUUAUGAUUUGGGCUACACACGUGCUACAAUGGACAAUACAAAGGGCAGCGAAACCGUGAGGUCAAGCAAAUCCCAUAAAGUUGUUCUCAGUUCGGAUUGUAGUCUGCAACUCGACUACAUGAAGCUGGAAUCGCUAGUAAUCGUAGAUCAGCAUGCUACGGUGAAUACGUUCCCGGGUCUUGUACACACCGCCCGUCACACCACGAGAGUUUGUAACACCCGAAGCCGGUGGAGUAACCUUUUAGGAGCUAGCCG